rnacentral:rRNA from 1 species
CCUACGGGAGGCUGCAGUGGGGAAUAUUGGGCAAUGGGCGCAAGCCUUACCCAGCAAUACCGCGUGAGUGAAGAAGGUCUUCGGAUUGUAAAGCUCUUUGAUCAGGGACGAACAGAUGACGGUACCUGAAGAACAAGCCCCGGCUAACUACGUGCCAGCAGCCGCGGUAAAACGUAGGGGGCGAGCGUUGUCCGGAAUGACUGGGCGUAAAGGGUGCGUAGGCGGCAUAAUAAGUUAGAAGUGAAAUACCCAGAGCUUAACUCGGGUGCUGCUUCUAAGACUGUUGAGCUUGAGUGCGGGAGAGGUUAAUGGAAUUCCUAGUGUAGCGGUGGAAUGCGUAGAUAUUAGGAGGAACACCAGUGGCGAAGGCGGCCUGCUGGGCUUUUACUGACGCUGAGGCUCGAAAGUGUGGGGAGCAAACAGGAUUAGAUACCCCAGUAGUC